rnacentral:rRNA from 1 species
CAGUGGCGAACGGGUGAGUAACACGUGGGCAAUCUGCCCUGCACUCUGGGACAAGCCCUGGAAACGGGGUCUAAUACCGGAUAUGACCGUGGAGCGCAUGCUCUGUGGUGUAAAGCUCCGGCGGUGCAGGAUGAGCCCGCGGCCUAUCAGCUUGUUGGUGGGGUAAUGGCCUACCAAGGCGACGACGGGUAGCCGGCCUGAGAGGGCGACCGGCCACACUGGGACUGAGACACGGCCCAGACUCCUACGGGAGGCAGCAGUGGGGAAUAUUGCACAAUGGGCGAAAGCCUGAUGCAGCGACGCCGCGUGAGGGAUGACGGCCUUCGGGUUGUAAACCUCUUUCAGCAGGGAAGAAGCGCAAGUGACGGUACCUGCAGAAGAAGCACCGGCUAACUACGUGCCAGCAGCCCGCGGUAAUACGUAGGGUGCGAGCGUUGUCCGGAAUUAUUGGGCGUAAAGAGCUCGUAGGCGGCCUGUCGCNGUCGGAUGUGAAAGCCCGGGGCUUAACCCCGGGUCUGCAUUCGAUACGGGCAGGCUAGAGUGUGGUAGGGGAGAUCGGAAUUCCU